rnacentral:rRNA from 1 species
AUUGAACGCUGGCGGCAGGCUUAACACAUGCAAGUCGAGCGGGGGAAGGUAGCUUGCUACCGGACCUAGCGGCGGACGGGUGAGUAAUGCUUAGGAAUCUGCCUAUUAGUGGGGGACAACAUCUCGAAAGGGAUGCUAAUACCGCAUACGUCCUACGGGAGAAAGCGGGGGAUUUUCGGACCUUGCGCUGAUAGAUGAGCCUAAGUCGGAUUAGCUAGUUGGUGGGGUAAAGGCCUACCAAGGCGACGAUCUGUAGCGGGUCUGAGAGGAUGAUCCGCCACACUGGGACUGAGACACGGCCCAGACUCCUACGGGAGGCAGCAGUGGGGAAUAUUGGACAAUGGGGGGAACCCUGAUCCAGCCAUGCCGCGUGUGUGAAGAGGGCCUUAUGGUUGUAAAGCACUUUAAGCGAGGAGGAGGCUACUUUAGUUAAUACCUAGAGAUAGUGGACGUUACUUGCAGAAUAAGCACCGGCUAACUCUGUGCCAGCCGCCGCCGUAA